rnacentral:rRNA from 1 species
GACGACGCUGGCGGCGUGCUUAACACAUGCAAGUCGAACGAGUGGCGGACGGGUGAGUAAUGUCUGGGAAACUGCCUGAUGGAGGGGGAUAACUACUGGAAACGGUAGCUAAUACCGCAUACCAUCGGAUGUGCCCAGAUGGGAUUAGCUAGUAGGUGGGGUAACGGCUCACCUAGGCGACGAUCCCUAGCUGGUCUGAGAGGAUGACCAGCCACCAUGGAACUGAGACUCGGUCCAGACGCCUACGGAAGGCAGCAGUGGGGAAUAUUGCACAAUGGGCGCAAGCCUGAUGCCGCCAUGCCGCGUGUAGGAAGAAGGCCUUCGGGUUGUAAAGUACUUGCAGCGGGGAGGCGUUACCCGCAGAAGAAGCACCGGCUAACUCCGGGCCAGCAGCCGCGGUAAUAC